rnacentral:lncRNA from 1 species
ACCGAAGAAAAAAACAACACAUUGUUGACACUUAAAAAUCCAACAAUCAAAAUUUACCUCAUCCUAUAAUAAACAACCAACCAUAAUACUAAACCUUGUGGCAGAAUUUAAGCUGCAAUGGAUGGCUUAGAGGCAGCAGACAGCCUGGAUCUCUUCUUGGCUAAGCUCUCGCUCCUGCGCUCACGUUGCUCCUUCAACCUCUGAGCAAGGAGCUUCUGGUACUCUGCAGCCUCAGCUUUGGCCUUUGCAACUCUCUUCUUCUUCUCUGCAAUUCUGCCACGCUUCCUCUGC